GACGAACGCUGGCGGCGCGCCUCACACAUGCAAGUCGAACGAGCGAGCGAGAGCUUGCUUUCUCAAGCGUGUCGCAAACGUGUGUGUAACGCGUGAGACCCCUGCCUCAAAGAGGGGUACAACUGUUGGAAACGACUUCUAAUCCCGCAUACGCCCGCGCCCCCGCCUCGGGUAGGGGGAAAAGGAGCAAUCCUCUUUGAUAUGGCCUCGCGUCCGAUUCGCUAGUUGGUGAGGUAACGGCCCACCAAGGAGACGCUCGGUAGCCGGACUGAGAGGUUGAACGGCCACAUUGGGAAUGAGACACGGCCCAGACUCCUACGGGAGGCAGCAGUGGGGAAUAUUGCACAAUGGGGGAAACCCUGAUGCAGCGACGCCGCGUGGAGGAAGAAGGUCUUCGGAUUGUAAACUCCUGUUGUUGAGGAAGAUAAUGACGGUACUCAACAAGGAAGUGACGGCUAACUACGUG
rnacentral:rRNA from 1 species